ensembl:lncRNA
UCUGUCCGUCCUAAAUACACGUCCACCCGUCUCGUAGCGUUCAUCUAAUUCAGUUCCUAGUCACCUCUUAUUUCGGAUGCUGCCACGCCUUUGCCGGUGCCAGACAGAUGUACGCACGCAUAGACUCAUAGUCACCCAAGGCCGACUUCAACUCUCAAUCAUGCUGUGAAAUUGACGUCGACAAUUCAAUUCCAGCACCAAAGCCAGUCAAUUUGCCUUUGACCCUGAUAGGUCUCCAUAGCCGAGUAAAGAUAGGUCUCAUCCACAUCCCGAGAAAAGUAACUGGCCAUUUCACAAUUUACAAUCUUCUUGUCCUCUUUCCUUGCUACUAUCUCAAAAGUAAUUGGAUUAGAAAGCCAUCCCUCUGACCAUCUCUUCCGAUGGUGAGCUCCUUUGCAGACAUCAUUUCCAUGUCCCUGAAAGCUCUACUGAGAUUCCUAUUAAACACUUUUUUCUACUCUGUUUCACGGUUUUACAUUCAUUUCCUUCUUCUCGUCACCCAAACCCAAACUGUCCUCCCUCUUCACUCUUUCCCAAGCUGCCACAAACAGCUUCUUCCUUCCCUCCAUGACUCUCUACCCCAUCUCUCUCCGGUCUCUCUUCCUUCCCUGUCUCUCUUCAUUCCCUGUCUCUCUUUCUCUCCUUGCGGUCUCGUCUGUGCCCAUUCUCCUCUCCUGACUCUCCAUCCCUCCUCCCGUCCUCCUCUCACCAUCCUCUCCCACCCCCCGCUCUUGUCUGAGUGUUAUUAGGUAGUGGUGAGAUCUUCCCAGCACCUUUCUGCAGGGAACACAGAUGAAUGUUUGACUAAAUCAGAGGGACACGUGGACCUCCCUCAGAACACACCUCUCUGUUCCUCCGUUUAAUGUUCCUGUCUGGUCCCCAAGUGUUGGAUUUGGUCCUGCGUCGUAGCACUCGUCGCACCGUAGCACCGUCACCAUGGUAGUCGACUGGCCUUUGGCUGGCAAAAGAAGAGGUGAGGGAUGAAAUGACAUGUAGAGAAGAUGGAGAGGAACGGACGACGGCGAGGAGAGGACGAGGAGACG